rnacentral:rRNA from 1 species
UACGUAGGGUCCGAGCGUUGUCCGGAAUUAUUGGGCGUAAAGAGCUCGUAGGCGGUUCGUCGCGUCGGCUGUGAAAACCCGGGGCUCAACCCCGGGCCUGCAGUCGAUACGGGCAGACUAGAGUGCGGUAGGGGAGACGUGGAAUUCCGGGUGUAGUGGUGGAAUGCGUAGAGAUCCGGAGGAACACCAGCGGCGAAGGCGGCAUCCUGGACUGGUCCUGACACUCAAGAGCGAAAGCGUGGGGAGCGAGUCCGG